rnacentral:rRNA from 1 species
CUAAAAAAAAUAAAAAAAUAAAAUAAAAAAUAAAAUAAAAAAACAAGGGGGAAAAACGAAUUCU